AGCAAUCAAAUCCAGAGUCCAUGCUUGCUUUUAAGUACCAACAAAAAUGUAGAGAAAGGAAAGAGAGGAGGCCUCUCUCUGUCCCUCUCCCCUUCACUUUGGCCCUGAGGCCACUUCAGGGAAGCAGAACUCAGAAGGACGGGAUUAAAGGGGAGUUUCAGGCAUUCUCCUUGCUCCAAAAGGGUAGGGGGCAACGGGAACAGUACCAACCAUAAAAUAUUCCUGGCCUUCAACCAUUCCCACCUAGGCACUCCACAACUACAUCUCCCUUCUGUUUUCUGACCGCUGUCUGCUCAGGAAAGCCCAGGAGAAGAGAUCUGUAGGGAUACAAAGCAAUUGUGGGUUUUCCAAACAGCAAAUAAAUAAAUCAGCUUUUUCUUUUCUGCAUCUGGAAAUUGACUGGCAAGUUACACAUCUAGAGCACCCAACUGUUGCUGAGAGAGAGAAAAAUUCGUGAAAUGGACCUUGGUUUGGGGAUGCAUCAGACUUGGGAACUCUCGCUGGAGCAGGGUCACCUAGAGAGCCGAUGGGGGGGAUUCUCUGCACUGCUUGAGCAUGUGCACUGGAGUCAGAGGACGGAUCCUGCCGUUUGAGCUUACCUCCUCUGUCUUGCCCCAAUGUUCUGCCACAUCAUAGUCAAAAAGUGGCUCUUUGGACUGGGCAGACGUCCAUGUGGCAAUGAAUGGUUGGACAGCAGCUCAAGACACAGGGGAAGUGCUCAAAAGGAGGGGAGGCAACCAGCUAUAGAAAAGAGGGUUGUCUCCAGGGAAACUAGACUCUUCCAAGUUCCAUACAGAACUUGCAAAGGAGUGGCAAGAGAUAAAAAUCAUGGCAUGUGGCAUGCACUUUUAGAGAGGCCAGGGAUGCAUUUGGGCAUCAUUUUCAAAAUGCUGUUGCUGUUUUUAAAUUAUUAUUAUUAUUAUUAUUAUUAAACUGUCCUGAGCCUA